rnacentral:lncRNA from 1 species
AUGAGACGGAGACUGGCUUUGGGGAGAGAAUGGUCCGCAGGCUGUAUGCCACCCACAACAUCACAUGGACACCCAGGAUCCUGCUGGUUUCCCUCUGUGUUGCAUUGGGCGAGCCUUCCGCACAUCCUUCUCCAUCCUCUGUCACCUCUUCACCUCGUGGUUUGGACAGCACCGAUGACUCCUACCUUGAUUUGGGGGUCAUUACAGUUUCAGACGCUCAAGUACAGCCGAAAAACACCUGAACGGGCCGCAGACCCACGACAGACCCUACGGACAGAACUGCGUUUCAAUAGUAAUAAGACAUCCACACUCACCGACGCGCUCUCUCUCCCCGCCCUCACCAAUGUACACUUUCCAGAAACUAGAUUGGCGUUGAAAACCUCUCUUCUGCAGAGAUGGGAAGAAAGGAAAGAGGAGGAGAGAGGAGGGAGCGAUGCGGGCGCCCGGUCCCCUUUCCCCCACAUGUCUGGUGCCAGACGUUCAAAGGUUAAAUGAAGUUCUGUCACAAGCCCACGAGGCCUGUGCUGCCCGGGGCUGUCUUCCUCCUCUGGGGCCCUCCUCCCAAACACAGCACGCAGACUCUGGGGCCAACAGGCAGUGGCCACGUCAGGAACCCCCGGGGCAGCUGUUCCCUGCAGAGCCCCGUCCCCUGGAUGGAACUACGCUGCCGGGCCAAGGACAGUCUGAAGCAAGCCCCCCCUUCCCCUUCUCAGCAAAACAGUUUCUCUGCUUGUUAUCUGCCAGAACCUUUGCCAGGACCCUUAACUGUUGGCACCAAGACCCAUGUCUUGCCAUCCGGCUUCAAUGUGUGUGCCUUGAGUUGAACGUCACUAAAAAACAAGAAAAAAAAAAAAGGAUCAUUUUUCAUUCAUGUGAACAGAGGUGAUAGGUACUUAUUAUUUUCUUUUAUGUCUACUUAUUUAUUUUGAGAGACAGAGACACAGACAGAGCACGAGCAGGGGAGGGGCAGAGAGAGAGGGAGACAGAGAAUCCCAAGCAGGUUCUGAGCUGUCAGCGCAGAGCCUGAUGCGGGGCUCGAACUCAGGAACUGUGGGAUCGUGGCCUGAGCAGAAACCCAGUCGGAGGCUUCACCGACUGAGCCACCCAGGCGCCCGACAUGGUCCCUGGAGCCUAGCCGGGCAGCCCCUGUGCAGGAGGCCGCUGGGGGAGGGGGCAUCUCAGCAAACACAAAGGCGGUGGGGCCUCAGACAUUUUAUUUGCUUUGAAAAAAGACCUUCUGGCUUGGGAGGAAAAUGGCAUCACUGUUCUGCUCUGGAUGACAGGGCCUGGAGCCGCGGCUGCCUGAGCGGUGAUAUCACGGCUGGGUCACGGUCCCCACUUCACCCCGGCGGAGGCAAGGGCACGGGGACACCCACGCGGGCCCCGGGCAGGCAGGAAGCAUCAGUCAACACAAAACGCUCCUGCACAGCGAGGCGGAAUGCCUCAUUUCAUACGAGUCGGACGCCUUUGGCUGUGUGCGUGAGCACUGUG